GAUGAACGCUAGCUACAGGCUUAACACAUGCAAGUCGAGGGGUAACGAGAGGAAAGCUUGCUUUCCUUGUCGACGACCGGCGCACGGGUGAGUAACGCGUAUCCAACCUGCCCCCAACUAGGGAAUAACCUUGCGAAAGUAAGACUAAUACCCUAUAAUUUCCUCAGAUGACAUCUGACGAGGAAUAAAGAUUUAUCGGUUGUGGAUGGGGAUGCGUCUGAUUAGCUUGGUGGCGGGGUAACGGCCCACCAAGGCAACGAUCAGUAGGGGUUCUGAGAGGAAGGUCCCCCACAUUGGAACUGAGACACGGUCCAAACUCCUACGGGAGGCAGCAGUGAGGAAUAUUGGUCAAUGGGCGGAAGCCUGAACCAGCCAAGUAGCGUGCAGGAUGACGGCCCUAUGGGUUGUAAACUGCUUUUAUACAGGAAUAAAGUUAGCCACGUGUGGUUAUUUGUAGGUACUGUAUGAAUAAGGACCGGCUAAUUCCGUGCCAGCCGCCGCGGUAA
rnacentral:rRNA from 1 species